rnacentral:rRNA from 1 species
GCAGUCUGCAACUCGACUGCACGAAGCUGGAAUCGCUAGUAAUCGCGGAUCAGCACGCCGCGGUGAAUACGUUCCCGGGCCUUGUACACACCGCCCGUCACACCAUGAGAGUCGGGAACACCCGAAGUCCGUAGCCUAACCGCAAGGGGGGCGCGGCCGAAGGUGGGUUCGAUAAUUGGGUGAAGUCGUAACAAGGUACC